AAGACCUUGCGCUUUUGGAGCGGCCGAUGCCUGAUUAGCUUGUUGGUAAGGUAAAAGCUUACCAAGGCUUCGAUCAGUAGCUGGUCUGAGAGGACAACCAGCCACACUGGGACUGAGACACGGCCCAGACUCCUACGGGAGGCAGCAGUGGGGAAUUUUGGACAAUGGGGGCAACCCUGAUCCAGCCAUGCCGCGUGAGUGAAGAAGGCCUUCGGGUUGUAAAGCUCUUUCAGCCGGAACGAAACGGUUACGGUUAACACCCGUGACUACUGACGGUACCGGAAGAAGAAGCACCGGCUAACUACGUGCCAGCAGCCGCGGUAAUACGUAGGGUGCGAGCGUUAAUCGGAAUUACUGGGCGUAAAGCGUGCGCAGGUGGUUUUGUAAGUCAGAUGUGAAAGCCCCGGGCUCAACCUGGGAACU
rnacentral:rRNA from 1 species